CAGCCGUAAACAAUGUGCGUUAGGUGUGUCGGUAACCACGCGUUACUGAUGCGCCGAAGAGAAAUCGUGAAACGCACCACCUGGGAAGUACGGUCGCAAGGCUGAAACUUAAAGGAAUUGGCGGGGGGAGCACCACAACAGGUGGAGCCUGAGGUUUAAUUGGAUUCAACGCCGGACAUCUCACCGGAUAAGACAGCUGAAUGAUUGUCAAUCUGAAGGUUUUACAUGACUAGCUGAGAGGUGGUGCAUGGCGUCAGUGACU
rnacentral:rRNA from 1 species